AUGAGGCUAAAAAGGCACAGGACAAUCAUGAAUUUAUGCCUAAAGCUCAGACGAUGGAGGCUGUUAGCCUUUGACAGUGAGAAGCAGAGGAUUCACAAGGGGAUUGCUGCAGGGAGUUUGCAGCAGGAAGAUUUCUGAGGCUUUCCUGGGCAGCCACCAUUUCCUCCUCUUUAUCUAUAAUGGAAGUAUUUCUGAGCAGUGUGUGAUGCA
rnacentral:lncRNA from 1 species